rnacentral:rRNA from 1 species
UGGGGAAUUUUGGACAAUGGGCGAAAGCCUGAUCCAGCAAUGCCGCGUGUGUGAAGAAGGCCUUCGGGUUGUAAAGCACUUUUGUCCGGAAAGAAAUCCUUGGCUCUAAUACAGUCGGGGGAUGACGGUACCGGAAGAAUAAGCACCGGCUAACUACGUGCCAGCAGCCGCGGUAAUACGUAGGGUGCAAGCGUUAAUCGGAAUUACUGGGCGUAAAGCGUGCGCAGGCGGUUUGCUAAGACCGAUGUGAAAUCCCCGGGCUCAACCUGGGAACUGCAUUGGUGACUGGCAGGCUAGAGUAUGGCAGAGGGGGGUAGAAUUCCACGUGUAGCAGUGAAAUGCGUAGAGAUGUGGAGGAAUACCGAUGGCGAAGGCAGCCCCCUGGGCCAAUACUGACGCUCAUGCACGAAAGCGUGGGGGGCAAACAGGAUUAGAUACCCUGGUAGUCCACGCCCUAAACGAUGUCAACUAGUUGUUGGGGAUUCAUUUCCUUAGUAACGUAGCUAACGCGUGAAG